GACGAACGCUGGCGGCGUGCUUAACACAUGCCAGUCGAACGGAAAGGCCCUGCUUUUGUGGGGUGCUCGAUUGGCGAACGGGUGAGUAACACGUGAGUAACCUGCCCUUGACUUUGGGAUAACUUCAGGAAACUGGGGCUAAUAUCGGAUAGGAGCUCCUGCAGCAUGGUGGGGGUUGGAAAGUUUCGGCUGUUGGGGAUGGACUCGCGGCUUACCAGCUUGUUGGUGGGGUAGUGGCUUACCAAGGCUUUGACGGGUAGCCGGCCUGGGAGGGGGGACGGCGACAAUGGGACUAAGGGAGGGCGCAGACUCGUACGGGAGGCAGCGGUGGGGAAUAUUGCACAGUGGGCGGGAGCCUGAGGCGACGGCGCCGCGUGCGGGAUGACGGCCUUCGGGUUGUGAACCGCUUUCGCCUGUGACGAAGCGUGAGUGACGGUAAUGAAUAAAGAAGCACCGGCUAACUACGUG
rnacentral:rRNA from 1 species